UAAUCGGGGGCGCCGGAAUAUCGGCUGAGAUGUGAAAAUUUUUUCCUGUCCCUUAACACCUGAUUUGGGUAAUGCCAACGUAGGGAGAUUGUUUU
rnacentral:ncRNA from 1 species